CCGUGCAGCACUUGCGGUUUACUUGACUGUCUACCAAGAGCCCGGCGGUUUGAAUUCCAUGCGAAGAUUUGACCCCCUGUUUUGCCUUCUACCAAUUUAACCCCCACAAUCUUUCACGAUAGCUUUAAAAUGCAUACACUUGUUUCUUUGAGAGCCCUAACAGUUGUUAAAUCGGUCCUGCGUUUCUCUGUUCUUCUGGAGAAACACACUUCAGCAUACUUAGCGCAGGAAAGUGCAGGGCGCCGAAGGUUUUGCCAGCAGUCAGCCCGAGGGGACAAGCUGACCCGGGCUUGACCGUCUACAAGAACCCACCAAGACAAGUGGCAGAGAGUGCCCGGGGUGGUGUGGGCUCCCUGGACCCUCAUCCACAAGUAUUGACCACUUGAGACUCAGUCCGACUUGACCUUUGAUACACCACGUAUAUGUAACUCUCAGUGAGGAGAUGGCGGUAGAUGGCCAGUGGUUAAAGCGUUCGCUCAUCACGCCGAAGGCCCGGGUUCGAUUCCCCACAUGGGUACAAUAUGUGAAGCCCAUUUCUGGUGUCCCCCGCCGUGAUAUUGCUGGAAUAUAUUAAAAAGCAGCGUAAAACUAAACUCACUCACUCACCCUCUCAGUGAGGAGACUGGGGAGCUCAAUUUCCUAACCACUGAAUUAUGUGGACGUCUGGACAUGUACACUUACAUAGAAGGGAUGCAUACAGACGAAGUAACUAAAUACAAGAAAGUUUGGGAAUUCGGCAAACAGUGAACUAUUUUUGUUUUAAAGAAAGAAACUUUGUCGUGAUCUCAGUUGACCAGUAUUCUAACGUCAAAAUACUCUGGCGAGUUACGACGAUGUGAACGAAUAUGGCGUGUGAAAACUCUAGUGUAGAGGCAGCAAUCAUCUAUGGGACUUUAUAUGCGUGCGUAUGUGUUUAUAACGUAUGUGAAAUAAAUAUCACUUCAACCAGUAA